UGCAAUACAGUGUCGACCCUGAGAUAGACAACCCUCAUUGAUCUCAAGGCUUGGUGAGAAAAUUAUACUACUUGAACACGAGUGAGCGCUCAGAAAUGCACUGAAAUGAGUGGGCCAUUGUGGGCGAGCUUGGCUGAAAGGCGGAGGUAUGUUUGGGGGAGUGGAAAAGAAUCUCCUCUCCUACUAUAAGCAGAUUACACCAUCUGGCCAAAGAAACUUAUUAUAGCUUCGUUAAAAAAGAAAGAAAGAAAGAAAGAAAAAAAAAACUCCUUUCUAAUAUAUAACCUGACUUUGCGUCUGUUGUUUAAUCGAUAUACUAUCCUAACCUAUGGGUCAUUACCUAUGUAUAGGCAAGAUCUAUGCAAACCCCGAAACGAAGCUCCAGACGUGGCCUAAUGCAUGUUUCGAGAACAUAUUGCAGGCGGAAGCCUCAUAAAUAAUCAACAUUCCAGAGUUAGAUAGCCCGCUCCUUUCCAUCGCUGUUUUUACCUUCAGUUUGUUCAACAUGCAGUGGAAUUGAGCAAUAUCCCAGUGCCAGUAUCAACGGAGUUUGGUGAGGGUGCAUCCACCGGUACGGAAUGAUCCAAAUAGAAAUACUGCAAUAGUAAGUGACGUGUCUGUGGUUGGAGAUUGAAGAAAGGAGUCGCUUGUAGGGCGAAAGUAUGAAAGACCGAAUGAUCCCGUGACGGAGAGCUACGACGGGAUAAUUCCCUAAAAAUGCCUUUUUUUCAAUUGGAAAACUGGCAUUUAAAAAGAAAAUAAAUAAAAAACAAAACCGAUCAUUUUUCAUUUGUACCAGAAUCUUCUCUCUUUAACAGCUGAAUCUUGCCCAUGGUGAGAACUGCGCUGGAAUUAGCAGUUGUCGAAUUCUCAUCGCUAGUGCCUUGGUUGUUCCUAUCACCAUCGGUAGACGAACCCCCUUUCCCAUUGGAUUUCGCAGAGACAGCGUUCCGGUCAUAGCUCGUUGGAUCGAUCCCCAAGACCCCGCCAAUGUAGCCGCCACGCUCACCGGGGACACUAAACUCACGAAAAACGUAUCGCCAUUCAUUCAGCCAGGCUUUGACCGCCUUGCCGACUUUGUCUUUGCCAUUUUUACUGUGAUGUCCUGUGCCGGUGAUAGCGUAGAGCACCCGGCGGCCAAGUUUCGCGUGCUCAAGUAGGAUAUUCUCCAGAUAUUCAAUUGCCUCGCUGGGGUGCAGGCCGUGAAGGUCAACAUACAGUUCGUCGUCGCUGCUAUUACUCAGAUGCUUGUUUCGUUCUUCAUAAAGAUGCCGAGCCGCCUCACGAUGCGCGCGACGCAUAGCCUCGUUCUCAGCUUGCCCACGGAGCGACAGAGCUUUGGCUGCACGAGCAUCGUUCCUAUUCCAAGCUUGUGCGGCACUGUGAUAUUUAAUUUAUUUUUUUCUUCUUGUUAGCUCCGUGAGGAGUCUAAAAGUAGUUAAGACAAGACACACCUUUGCAAAAACUUAUUUCGCACGUUACCAUGAGUAAUGGCAUCAUGGCGAUAUUUGAGAUACUGCUGAUUGACGCGAUUUCCCGUUUCAAGCCAUGGAAUGUGUUUAGGUGUAGGAAUUGCCUGCGCCGCAGCGCUAUUUUCGCGAUUUGUAGUGUACGUGCGAUUAGAUUUAGGAGUACCUUUCCGAUGACCUGGCGCUGGAGACGGAGACAUGCGGACAACAUCAGCCAGCGAGGAAGGAUUAUUUUCCUUGUGUCCAGAAUGAUCGCGGUGGUGUCCAUUCCCCCGUUUCCCAUGAUGUUUCUUCCCUGCCCCCUUUACCGCAGAUAGAGUGGGAAAUGCUUCGGGGUCGUCGACUGAUAAAGCUGCAGGGUUUAAUUCACGAUUUUGAUGUCGACUUGUUGGCCGCGAGUGUGGGCGGCUUGCUUGACUUAAGGAACUGUUUUUGUUCCUAAAAUUUGGGGAAGAUGUACCAUGGUAUUGGCCUGUAUGUUUGUGGCGCUGGUACGGACCAGCAUUGGGCCAAGUUUCCAUAUUCGAAGGUUGU
rnacentral:sRNA from 2 species